CCCGGGUGGGGCCUGGACCCUUCCCCCGCUGGAACCCCUGGCUCCCGCAGGAAGGAGCCUGGACCCCCGCCCCUUCCCCCAGCAGGGAACCCUCAGCCCCCCCAGGCAGGAUCCUGCCCCCCACCCGCUGCAAGCACCUUCCUCCCCGCCAGCAAAGCGACAUGCAGCUUUCUCUUCCCCCCACGCCAGCUGGGAGCACCCCAAAACCCCUGUCCCUACCCCCUGCCCCUCAGCUACCAGCACCUUCAUCUCUCCCUGCGACCUGGAUUUCCCAGCACCCCCUCCCCCAGCAUGCAACCCGUGACACCCCCUCCCCAGCAUAGUCCUCUUCCCCCAACCCCCGAGCUGGGAGCACACCCAGUACCUUCACCCCCAGCAGGAAAACCGUGUUCCCCCCCCCAGCCCAGAGCCCCUUCACUCUGCACCAGCUGGGAGCACCCUGCACCCCCUGUGCCCAUGCAGACAGCAUGCAGCUUCCUCCCCUGGCCCCCCACAGCAGUGGGUGAUGUGGAUUCAGGACUCUUCAGUUACGUGUCAUAUGCCUCACACUGCUGAAGGUUGGGGACCCUCCUUUGGGACCAUUUGGAAGCCAGGCUGUGUCUGGCUCCUGCGUUGUCCUUGGAGAGAACAGGAGAGAGGCUGCUGGGCUGAAGAGAUUCUGCAAAGAUGAAAGCUGGGUGAACUCUGAGGCGUCAAUGCCUCUUUAAGAGCAAGGCAUGAUGGGGAAACCCUGCACAGCAUAAAAGGGAGAGAAGGGAGUUGUGGGCUAGUUAGAGGAAUUAAGUUCGGAUAGGGCUUGUCUACACUAUGGCACUGUAGUUAUGCGCUGGAUCACCAUAGGGUAGACGCUUUCUACAGCGACAGAAGGGGCUUUUCCACUGUCUUAAUGUAAUCCACCUCCCCGAGCAGCGGGAGCUAGGUCAAUGAAAACAUUCUUCUGUCGACGUAGCUGCAUCUACACUGGGAGUUAGGUCAGCAAAGUUAUGAGAAACUGCAGAAUUGGAAUUAAUUUGCAAACUGGACACCGUUAAAUUAGGCUUGAAUAAAGACUGGGAGUGGAUGGGUCAUUACACAAAGUAAAAACUAUUUGCCCAUACUAAUUUUUCCCCUACUGUUACUCACGCCUUCUUGUCAAUUGUUGGAAAUGGGUCAUCCUGAUUAUCACUACAGAAGUUUUUUUUUCUCCUGCUGAUAAUAGCCCACCUUAAUUGAUUAGUCUCGUUAGAGUGGGUAUGGCAACACCCAUUUUUUCACGUUCUCCGUGUAUGUAUAUCUUUCUACUGUAUUUUCCACUGCAUGCAUCCAAUGAAGUGGGCUGUAGCCCACAGAAGCUUAUGCCCAAAAAAAUUUGUUAGUCUCUAAGGUGCCACAAGGACUCCUCAUUCUUUUUAUCUUUUAAGAGUAGACCAGGCUUAAAUGUAAGCGGGUAUUUUUGUGCCUUUGGUGGUAUUUUAUUUAUUUAAUCAGUGUUAACUGAAAUGUUUUGCAUGAGAAGUUGUCUCGGAAAACAUGGUUUUGCCAGCACUGAAAACUGCCAAUUAAAUUUGUUAAAAUUUUCCUGUUCGGGUAAUUGGAAGGAAGAAUGU